rnacentral:lncRNA from 1 species
GUUUUUGAGUGUAACACAUCUGAUAUAUUUUCAUUUGCAGAAUAUUUGACAUGAUGUCUAAUGGAUUGCCGUGUCAACUGAUCUUCCUGCAAACCUUUGCAAACAGAAGAUCUUCCCUCCAGUCCUGUUCAUAAAAGUUAUUGUUGGUUCAGGAGGACUGUAAAGUAGCUGCUGUUUUCCUACAGUAAUGUCUUGGAAAACGCUGAUGAUAAAUGAUGUCUGUGCAACAUGCACCGAGUUAUACAUUGGCAGUCCAUCUGCUUCUCUCUCUGGGGCUUUUGUAUGUUCUCCGGCAAUCAAGCGUUUAUUUGGGCCACUCAAUCUGCAGGUUAGCGCUUUGGGAAACCCGCAGGGAUCAGCCUGAGGGAGGCCUUGGCAGGACAUCUGCACUGGAAAACGUCCAUGGCUGGAGUGUUGGUAGGCAGCACACACAAACACCGCCGUACUGAAACAACAAUGAGUGACGGGAGAGCCAGCGGGAUUGUUAAUGUGGCAUAUGAGAUUGCUAAGAGGAAACCGUGGGGAGGUAUUACGCAAAUCCAACGCUUCUCCAGCCAUCAGCAAGGCUUCUGAGAGCAAGGGGAGCUGGAGCUCACAUCAGCGUGAAUACAAAUGAUCUUUUUUUCUGCAAGCAUAUAUAGUGAAAUGAGCAGAAGAUAAAGAGAUAGAGGAGAGAGGAUGUCUGUAGGAGGGGUUGGGGACAGAAGAGGAAGGCAGGAAUUAGGUGAGUGUUUGUUGAACAGUGUGUAGUUGCGAUUGAACAUGUGCUACUGCCUGGGCUCAGAUCCCCUGAAGUGCCAUUCAAAACCGGCACGUCGCCCAGAAAAAAAUAGAGAGAACCGGAGGAUGGAGGUUUUUAGAAAGUCAGACAUGGAGUCCCUUUAGUUCCAAUCCUUUUUUUGUAAAACGCAAAGAUCAGACUGUGAACACGCUUUAAAUUUCCUUUAUUUGUUCUGAAUUUAAAAGCAUAAACUGUUAAAAGUUAUUAGUUGACAUUACUUAAAAGAAGAGAGUAAAUUGAUUGAUUUUAAAGUGAACACUUGACUCUAUUUAAUAAAGGGGUAAGGGCAGCAUGGUGGCGCAGUGGGUAGUGCUCUCGCCUCACAGCAAGAAGGUCAGUUGGCAAUUCUGUGUGGAGUUUGCAUGUUUUUCCCAUGUUGGCGUGGGUUUCCUCCGGUGCACCAAAGACAUGCGCUAUGGGUGAAUUGGGUAAGCUAAAUUGUAGUGUAUGUGUGUGAAUGUAAGUGUAUGGGUGUUUCCUUGUACUUGUGCUGGAAGGGCAUUCGCUGUGUAAAACGUAUGCUGGAUAAGUUGGUGGUUCAUUCUGCUGUGGUAACCCCUGAUGAAUAAAGGGACUAAGCUGAAGGAAAAUGAAUGAAUAAAUGAAUGAAUGAAUGAACAAAUGAUUGAAUGAUUGAAUGAAUGAUUGAAUGAAUGAAUGAAUGAAUGAAUGAACGAAUGAAUCAUUGAAUGAAUGAAUGAAUGAAUGAUUGAUUGAAUGAAUGAACCCCUGAUAGAUAAAGGGACUAAGCCGAAGGAAAAUGAAUGAAUGAAUGAAUGAAUGAACGAACGAACGAAUGAUUGAAUGAAUGAAUGAAUGAAUAAAUGAAUGAUUGAAUGAAUGAAUGAAUGAACGAAUGAAUCAUUGAAUGAAUGAAUGAAUGAAUGAUUGAUUGAAUGAAUGAAUGAAUGAAUGAAUGAAUGAAUGAUUGAAUGAAUGAAUGAAUGAAUGAAUGAUUGAAUGAAUGAAUGAAUGAAUGAACGAACGAAUGAAUGAUUGAAUGAAUGAAUGAAUGAAUGAACAAACGAAUGAAUCAUUGAAUGAAUGAAUCAAUGAAUGAUUGAAUGAUUGAAUUUAUGAAUGAAUGAUUGAAUGAAUGAAUGAAUGAAUGAAUGAAUGAAUGAAUGAAU